AAACCAGAGAGUGAUUGCCCACUGACAGUGAUCGCCCACUUUAAGAAAAAUAUUCUCAUGUGCUAUCUUUGAAUCAUUCUAGUUCGAUUAGAAUUUACUAGAUGGCUCUGUGAUUAGUGUAUAGUAUUUUUAAAAUUGACUGCUGGCAACACUGAAAGAAAAAAAACAGUAAUGACGGAUUUUAUCGAGACGGGUGAACGUGUUAUUCAAAAAGUAUGCCAAAGAGACCAAAAGUUAAAUAUAGCAAAGAGAAUUUUCAGAAAGCCAUCGAAGCUGUACAAGAUAUUUCCUACAAUUUAUCUACAAGACAAACUGCUGAAAAGUACGGUGUUCCUAGGCUUAGUCUCCGAUACCACAUUAAAAAUCCAGGACAUAAAACUAGCUUAGGGCCAUCACCUAUAUUAACUAUAACUGAAGAAAGUCGUUUAGACGAUUGGAUAAUAAUUUGGGCAAGAAAAGGAUUUCCCGAAAUAAAGAAGACAUUUUAGAUACCGUGCAAAAGUUCCUGGUGGAAAACUUGCGUCGUAAUUCAUUUUUAAAUAAUAGGCCAGGUGAUGGUUGGAGGAAGGCAUUUUUAAAAAUACAUCCGAAGCUGACAGAACAUCAGAAGGAGUGACAAAAGUAAAUUUAGCUUAGCCAAAAAAGCCAAUAAAGAAAGGAAAAGGGCAAACUGAACGACAGCCUUAUGCCAUUAGAUCCCAAAAUUUUAAAGCAGCAUUACAUAGAAAACAAAAAGAAAA